CCUCCAUUGAUUUCCAGCAGUGGGUCUCGCUCAGCAACGUCUGGCUCGUGCGAGCUUGUGCCCUUCGUGCCCAUGCGCCUCCAUGGGGUCGCAUUGUAUUUCCUAGUUGUCCAACCGCUGAUCUGUGCCUGCUCACCUCUCCGACAUCCGUCUUCCCUGUCGACUUCAUACCUGCGUCUGCACGACUCUCUCUGUGUGUUUGUGCGUCUCGCGCAGCCUGACACUCGCCCCACGUUGCCCAUCGCCAGCUGCUUCGUGCGCGCCUUCUCUGGCGCGCUCCUUCCUGGAUCCGGCUCUUCCUUACGCCCUUUCACGUGUUUUUGGGAGUCGCUCGUCGCUCCCCGUGUGCUCUGGCUCCGCGCACUUGCUUUCGACCGCGCUGCUCACGGCGCUCGUGCCACGGCCGCUAUCCCUGUUCCUGUCGCCUGCCCCUCCGUUGCGGACACGCUUUUUCUUUGGUCCUACCUUACACUCGUCUCCCCCUCCCUCUCUCCGGCCACCGCUUUCAUCUAUCCUCGCCCAUUUCGCGUCUUCUCUCUCGAGUGGCCGCCCGGUUUCCCUACGCGCUAG
rnacentral:misc_RNA from 1 species